UUGAUACUCCCUCCGUUCCAUAAUUCUUGUCUCAAAUUUGCCUAAAAAUGGAUGUAUCUAUUCUUAAAAAGCGUCUAGAUACAUGCAAUAUUUCGACAAGAAUUAUGGAACAGAGGUAGUAGCAA
rfam:Brachypodium distachyon strain Bd21 chromosome 5, whole genome shotgun sequence.